rnacentral:rRNA from 1 species
CCUACGGGAGGCAGCAGUGGGGAAUAUUGGACAAUGGGGGAAACCCUGAUCCAGCGACGCCGCGUGAGUGAAGAAGUACUUCGGUACGUAAAGCUCUAUCAGCAGGGAAGAAAAUGACGGUACCUGACUAAGAAGCCCCGGCUAACUACGUGCCAGCAGCCGCGGUAAUACGUAGGGGGCAAGCGUUAUGCGGAUUUACUGGGUGUAAAGGGAGCGUAGACGGCAGCGCAAGUCUGGAGUGAAAUGCCGGGGCUCAACCCCGGAACUGCUCUGGAAACUGUGAAGCUGGAGUGCAGGAGAGGUAAGCGGAAUUCCAGGUGUAGCGGUGAAAUGCGUAGAUAUCAGGAGGAACACCGGCGGCGAAGGCGGCUUACUGGACUGUAACUGACGUUGAGGCUCGAAGGCGUGGGGAGCAAACAGGAUUAGAUACCCGAGUAGUC